UUAUAAACGGCUGCGUGUCUGUUUUCUGCGUCAUUGAGGUCCUGAUCGCGCGGGAGACGCAUUCAUCACUACAGCAUCCGUAACUGCGACAUUCAAGAUCAGUCGCGAUGUCUGACGAAGGGAAGCUGUUUAUCGGCGGUCUGAGUUUCGAUACCACCGAACAGUCGCUAGAGGACGCGUUCUCCAAAUAUGGUGUGAUCACCAACGUUCAUGUGGCCCGAAACCGAGAAACCAACCGGUCCAGAGGGUUCGGCUUCGUUACCUUUGAGAAUCCAGAUGAUGCGAAAGAUGCGCUUGAAGGAAUGAAUGGAAAGUCUGUUGAUGGCCGGACGAUCCGUGUGGAUGAAGCUGGCAAGGGUGGCGGCGGCGGUGGUGGCGGACGAUCGGGAGGCGGAUCCUACAGAGGUGGUGGAGGAGGAGGUGGCGGCGGAGGAAGAGGCGGCGGUGGCUUCUUCAGAGGCGGUCGAGGUAGAGGAGGCCCUAGAGGUGGUGGGGGUGGCAGUUAUGGAGGCGGUGACCGGAGUUAUGGAGGGGACCGUAGCUAUGGUAGCGGAGGAGGUUACAAAAGUGGAGGUGGAGGCGGGUACUCUUCUGGAGGGGGCGGCGGCUACAGCCGAGACCGGGGUUCAGGUUAUGGUGAUCGGGGCGGGUCUUACAGAGAUGGCUAUGAUAGUUAUGGUUAAUCCGGAAGCUUCCGUGUGUCUUUGAGGACUGUUGAACGUUCACUCCGAGAUGUGCAUUAAGUGUGAGGUGUGGACUGAAGAAGGUCUUUCCUCCACAGACGGACGAUCACUGAGGAGCUGUUAUAACUGUUCUAUAGAUAAAGAAACAGCUUCAAUCUGGCAUUAAUACUGAUUCCACCAUUUUACCAGAACUUAUGCUAGUGUUGUGGAACCUCUGAUGCAGAUGUAACAGCUAACGGUCAUUCUGAGACGGUCUGUUGAGAUGUGUCGGUGCUUUAUUCACUUUUGGGCACUUUAGUGUUUCUGAAAGUGGCGCUCUGUUAUGCCACCAAAACUGGAGAACGAUUUAACUUUUGUUGAGUAAAAGGAAGGAAAAGCAAUAUUUGAUCAGAACUCAAUCUCACAGAAUGAUGUAAUUCAAUCGAAACAUUUAGUCUGGAAAAAAUAUAUUUAUCACAACGUCAUUUUGUGUAUUUUAUAACGCAAUAAUAAAUUCUAUGAAAAGUGCAACACUUGUGUUUUCUUUAUAACUGUUAUAGUCAAGGUUUGAAAGUAACUGAAUACAUGUAACUGGAUUACUUAUUUAAAAUACAAAAUAUAAGUAACUAUAUUCCACUACAGAUACAAUGUAAAUGGUUACAUUCUAAAAGUAUUUUGAUUACUGAAGAGAUUACUUUGCAUUAAUUAUCUUUCGUUUAAUAUUUAGUCCUUUCAGAUGGAAACAUUUAUAUAAAUUAUGCAAUCCGAGGAGCGUUUAUCCCCUGACACAUGAAAGAAUAGUCAGAAAAUGUCAUUUAUUUCACAUUAAACUGUCCAAUUGUAUUAAAAAGAAAUCGUAAAAAUUUUUUUUUUUAAUGUAUCGUAUUUGAUCCGUUAACAGUCAUUAUCGUUAACUCGUUGUGUAGGAUAUUUGUUAUUGCAGUUUUUCUACAGGGGUAUAUUUGGGGUAUUAUCAGAGGGGGCUUUUCAGAGAUCCCAAAUGUUUGAGAGUUUGGCCGUGACAACUUCCUCUAUAAAUAUGGACUGAAAUGUAUCGCAGUAUCAAAUAAUUUUUUUAUAUAUAAACAAUUUUUAUCAUAUGUAUUUUAUGCAUCAAACACUAUAUUGACUUUUGGGAAAUUGUAAAACUUGUUUCGCUGUGUCUCAGGAACAUAUAAGAUGACAUCAUAAUAGCUUGUGAUGUAAAAUAAUGAUUUAUAAUGACGAGCAGACUGCAUAUAUUAAAAUAC